UCGAGAAUUUUUCUCAAUGGGCGAAAGCCUGAAGGAGCGACGCCGCGUGGGGGAUGAAGGGCUUCGGCCCGUAAACCCCUGUCAUUUGCGAACAAACCUCUUCACCCAACACGUGGAGAGCUGAUUGUAGCGAAAGAGGAAGGGACGGCUAACUCUGUGCCAGCAGCCGCGGUAAUACAGAGGUCCCAAGCGUUGUUCGGAUUCACUGGGCGUAAAGGGUGCGUAGGUGGCGGGGUAAGUUUGAUGUGAAAGCUCCGAGCUCAACUCGGAAAUGGCAUUGAAUACUACUCUGCUCGAGGGUUGGAGGGGAGACUGGAAUUCUCGGUGUAGCAGUGAAAUGCGUAGAUAUCGAGAGGAACACCAGUGGCGAAGGCGAGUCUCUGGACAACUCCUGACACUGAGGCACGAAAGCUAGGGGAGCAAACAGG
rnacentral:rRNA from 1 species